GACGAACGCUGGCGGCGUGCCUAAUACAUGCAAGUUGAGCGAUGAAGAUUGGUGCUUGCACCAAUUUGAAGAGCAGCGAACGGGUGAGUAACGCGUGGGGAAUCUGCCUUUGAGCGGGGGACAACAUUUGGAAACGAAUGCUAAUACCGCAUAACACCUUUAAACAUAAGUUUUAAGUUUGAAAGAUGCAAUUGCAUCACUCAAAGAUGAUCCCGCGUUGUAUUAGCUAGUUGGUGAGGUAAAGGCUCACCAAGGCGAUGAUACAUAGCCGGCCUGCGAGGGUGAUCGGCCACAUUGGGACUGUGACACGGCCCAAACUCCUACGGGAGGCAGCAGUAGGGAAUCUUCGGCAAUGGACGAAAGUCUGACCGAGCAACGCCGCGUGAGGGAAGAAGGGUUUCGGAUCGUAAAACUCUGUUGGUAGGGAAGAACGUUGGUGAGAGUGGAAAGCUCAUCAAGUGACGGUAACUACCCAGAAAGGGACGGCUAACUACGUG
rnacentral:rRNA from 1 species